GUUGGACAAAUGGUCGCGCCGUUUCAGACGAAAGGGGAACGGUGAGGAAAGUCCGGGCUUCACAGGGCAGGAUGCCGGAUAACGUCCGGUAGGGGUGACCCUCAAGCUAGUGCAACAGAAAUAAACCGCCGGUAAAAACCGGUAAGGGUGGAAAGGUAAGGUAAGAGCUUACCGCCUGGCUGGUAACAGGCAGGGCAUAUGUAAACCUCAUCCGAAGCAAGACCGAACAGAGAACGAUAAAUUGGCCCGAUUUGUUCUCAGGUGGGUCGCAUGAGCUUGCUGGCAACAGUAAGUCGAGAUAGAUGACCAUUCAACGACAUAACCCGGCUUAUCGUUUAACU
rnacentral:RNase_P_RNA from 1 species